AAAGCACAACUCCAUCUUUCUUCCUCUCUCUUUAACCUAACACACCAAGGUCAUGCCAAAAUUUCAAAUAAUUUGGUGUCACCUUAAUGCACACUUCUACUUGAUCUUGCCAAAUUAUUUGAAUUGGAGAUACUCCAUUUCAAUGGUUGGGUCUUUGCUAUUUUACCAAACAAAUUGUGAACAUGAUUUCAUGGAGCAAUUCUUUCUUUUAGCUCUAUGCAUAAACCUUCUUCUAUUCCUUUUUCUCAUCAUCACAUGUAAGGUGAUGUGCUCUCAUAUUCUUUUCUCUUCUCAUUCAAACCAUCCUUCCUCCUUCUAAUAAAACAGUUUUUAUUUUAGAAAAGAAAAUAAAAACAGUUUUUGAAAAGAGAAGAGAGAAAGAAAAUAAAAGAAAAACCCUAUCUACACCUAACCCUGGCCCAACCCCAACCGAAGCCCACCUAGCUACCAAACCAGCAGCCCUUUUUCUUUGAUCCAACCCAGCUCCAACGUGUGGAGCACGAGUUCCCGUUCGUCGUCUUCCUCGUCGUACGAACCAGGCAACCACCGUAUGAUUCUCUUCCCCUCUCCGAUGCUUGCCACAUGCCUCCUUUCCCCCUCCUUUACACUCCAGCAGCUCCUCCAACCCUAGCCCUCUUCCUCCAUCGAGCCGCCGCCACCAUCUCCUUCCUUUUUUUUCUCCACCUCGCUGUGAGCAGCUUGAGGGACAAUGCCGCCGCUGCCGUCGACCGCCGUCGCCAUGGCCGUCGACGCGCCCACUUGAGCCGUGGAAUCGGACCACCGCUGUCCCCUCUUCGUCCUCGUCUGCCUCACGGAGAUCGAGCCGCCAAGAGCUGCACGAGCCCGUCCUCGCCUUCCCGUCGACGUCUUCCCGGCCUCUCCUUCGUCCUCGUCGCCGGCAGCCCUCCUCCUCGUCUCCGACCACCCCUGGACGCCGACGCAGAGCAGUACGAGCAGGAGUACGAGUUCCCUCUGGAGGAUCGUGUCGGUGCUUCUACCUCUGAUCUGACAGGCGAGCCCACCCCUUCACCUAUUUUACAUUUACAUGCUCUUUUGAUCUAUUGCUAUCCUUAUGUUGCGAUUCUGUUGUGUCACGUGUCCUAUCCACCUGUUACCUAUAUGUCCGAGAUACACCUCCUCGCCCUACCUAUUGUUUGUUGUUUGCCAGCUUUGCGAGUCGUAGGCGAGUUUAGGAUUUUUGUUGAUAUCUCGAAAUGUUCGGGAUAUCUUGUUGGGUUGUUGACACAUGUACUACCUUUUCAAAAUGAUGAUAACUUUUGCUACAACUUAAAAUUGCUAAGGAAUAUAAUAUGCAGAGGCAUCUGUGAGCCCCUUUGCGAAAGCAUCGGAACUUUGACUUGCUAAUGUCCCCUAGGACCCGAGUUCUUGUUAUCUGUUUCUAAGACUGAGCGCGCUAACCACUCGUGGGAGGAUUUAUCGGGACCCCCCAUCACCCAUUACCAUUUCUCAAGUCUGUUGAAAAGGGGGCCACAACCUUGGUUUUAUUUGCCUAUGCCAUGUAUGCCAUGUAUGCCAUGCUUUACCUACUGUUGCCUUCAGGUGUUUAAUACUGUUGCCUUCGGGUGUUUAUUUCUGUACUGUACCUUGCGGGACGUUUAGCGAAGCGUGUGGUUCGCACGCCUAGCCGCCGGCGCAAACCUCUGAGUCCGUCUCGGAGUACGGCCGAACUUCGAUACGGGUAGCUUAGGCGGGUGGCCCCCUAGACAUUCUUGUUGAUUUGGGAACGGUCUUGUUGUGAGACUCCGCCGUAAUUAAGCGGGUUCGAGCAUGCGUGUAUGGUAACAUUGGUGCACCCCUGCAGGGUUAAAUCUUAUCGAUAAGCCGUGUCCGCGGUUAUGGACGACUUGGAGCUGUUUAACUCGAUCAUAGAACAACUUACACCUAAAGCUGUCGUUAAUAACUUGCUAAUUACUUGCGUAGUAAGUUAGCCCUAUUAUAAUGGAAUGGAUAUAAAAUUGUCAACUGUGUGAGUGCCUUGUUAGUACCUCUUGGCUAAGGGGGAUCGCAUUUGGCUGGGUUGUUGUUUGCAGAGUAUAGAACUGCUAGAAUAUGCGCUCUCUCACCUUCUCUACUAGAUGGAAGUUGUAGCGUGUCUCUAUUGGUUAGUGCUUUGCUGCCGCUAAACUCCACAUAAAGCCGGGCGAAGUUUACACCGCCCACCAGCAAGCAUAGCUGGUCUGCCGAAGAUGACGUGGUAGGAGCUCUUGAAGGGCACAACUUCAAACGUGAUCUUAUCUUCGCGGAAAUUAUGAACAUCGCCACAAGCCACGGGAAGUGUGAUGCUGCCGAGGGAGUUCGCCUUCUUACCCGGAACCACGCCAUGAAACUCAGUGUUGCUGUGUUUGAGCUGUUCCUUGGUGAGGUUCAUCCGCUCUAGAGUCUCCAGGUACAUGAUGUUCAAGCUGGCUCCGCCAUCCAUGAGGCACUUGGAGAAGUCAUACCCGUCUAUGCGGGGACUUACAACCAAAGCGUAGCAUUCCUUUGGCACAAUUGCGGGAUGGUCCUUCCGAUCAAAUGUGCACGGGAUUUUCGACCACCUGACGUACUGCGGCACAGCCGGAACCAUGGCGUUCAGGAUCCGGGUAGCUAACUUGGAGGCGCGUACUGUUGGGGUUCCGAGGAAAGUGUGGUAAGCCCCCACGCUCUUUUUGUCGAAUGGAUUGGAUUUACCUGCGGCUCCUGCCUUGGGAUCCGGCGAGUUAUCAUCCUCAUCCAUCGCCUCGGAACUAUCGUCCUCAUUGUCUUUGUUCUUGCUCUUGCCACCUUUUCCUCGAGGGCGGUGCUUCCGGGCGCGCUUGUAUCCGGCCUCCAGGUCGUUCUUUAGAUCAUUGACCCACUUGCAGUUGCGGUUGGUAUGAGUGGAUGUAAGCCCCAGGAGUAGGAAAACCCAGAGCGCGCAUGUAAGAGGGGUUUAUGUGCAUGAGGUCACUACAAAGGACCGUGAGGUCGCCUCGCAUUCCCAAGCAUAUGGGUAGGCCAAGCAACAGCUCGACACGCCCAUGCACACAACACCCGCCUCAAAGGCUCACGGUAGGCUUUCCGGGCUCGAGUGCUUCACCUUCUGUGCACUUCACACAUACACACACUGUGCACAGGAUACAAGGGUAGAAUACAGCUUGAAUAUCACAACAUGACUAUGUAUGACACAAAAGAUGGAAAUAAGGUUCAUAUAUAUAGCAACGCUCUAAUGAGCAAGAUCCAAAUGACACUCAGGAGGGAAACAUAUCCCAUCAGUACAUCAUACAUAAGAUAGCCAAAUAGUCUGGGUACAGACAAGAUCCAAAUUGGACUAAGAGUCCUGAAGAUAAUCAAGCGGUAUUCCCAUAACCAACAUGCCACAGGCUGCUGCCUUAGGAACGAUCCUGCUACGCAACGAAGUCGUCGUCCGUGAACUCGACAAAGUAGCCUCCAGCGUACUGCUCGUCAUCUGUCAUACCUGUUUGUCGAAAAG